rnacentral:rRNA from 1 species
AUUGAACGCUGGCGGCAUGCCUUACACAUGCAAGUCGAACGGCAGCACGGGAGCAAUCCUGGUGGCGAGUGGCGAACGGGUGAGUAAUAUAUCGGAACGUGCCCAGUCGUGGGGGAUCACGCAGCGAAAGCUGUGCUAAUACCGCAUACGAUCUACGGAUGAAAGCGGGGGAUCGCAAGAACUCGCGCGAUUGGAGCGGCCGAUAUCAGAUUAGCUAGUUGGUGGGGUAAAGGCCCACCAAGGCGACGAUCUGUAGCUGGUCUGAGAGGACGACCAGCCACACUGGAACUGAGACACGGUCCAGACUCCUACGGGAGGCAGCAGUGGGGAAUUUUGGACAAUGGGCGCAAGCCUGAUCCAGCAAUGCCGCGUGCAGGAUGAAGGCCUUCGGGUUGUAAACUGCUUUUGUACGGAACGAAACGGCCCUUUCUAAUACAGGGGGCUAAUGACGGUACCGUAAGAAUAAGCACCGGCUAACUACGUGCCAGCCGCCGCGGUAA